rnacentral:rRNA from 1 species
UACGAAGGGGCUAGCGUUGCUCGGAAUUACUGGCGUAAAGCGCACGUAGGCGGAUCUUUAAGUCAGGGUGAAAUCCUGGAGCUCAACUCCAGAACUGCCUUUGAUACUGAGGACCUUGAGUUCGGGAGAGGUGAGUGGAACUGCGAGUGUAGAGGUGAAAUUCGUAGAUAUUCGCAAGAACACCAGUGGCGAAGGCGGACUCACUGGCCCGAUACUGACGCUGAGGUGCGAAAGCGUGGGAGCA